rnacentral:rRNA from 1 species
UACAGAGGGGGCAAGCGUUGUUCGGAAUUACUGGGCGUAAAGGGCGCGUAGGCGGCCUGUUAAGUCGAACGUGAAAUCCCCGGGCUCAACCCGGGAACUGCGUCCGAUACUGGCAGGCUUGAAUCCGGGAGAGGGAUGCGGAAUUCCAGGUGUAGCGGUGAAAUGCGUAGAUAUCUGGAGGAACACCUGUGGCGAAAGCGGCGCACUGGACCACAACUGACGCUGAGGCGCGAAAGCUAGGGGAGCAAACAGG